GCUCAGCGCGGGCGGUGAGCGGGGGGUAAUGCGGAGGUGGGUGGUUGGGCCGGGAUGAUGUGGAGUAAAGGGCGCGUAGGGGGUUUGUAGCGUCGGUGGUGAAAACUCAGGGCUUAACUCGGAGCUUGCUUCCGAGACGGGCAGACUAGAGGUAUGCAGGGGAGAACGGAAUUCCUGGUGUAGCGGUGAAAUGCGCAGAUAUCAGGAGGAACACCGGUGGCGAAGGCGGUUCUCUGGGCAUUACCUGACGCUGAGGAGCGAAAGUGUGGGGAGCGAACAGGAUUAGAUACCCUUGUAGUC
rnacentral:rRNA from 1 species